AGCAAAGUGGCCGAGAUUUAGGCAAAAGAUUGUAGCUCUUUACACGGAUCACUCCCUUUGUAA
rnacentral:tRNA from 1 species